UAAAUCUCCUUCCACAUUCCCCUUUCCCCAGUGGGAGGGAAAGGGAAGGAGGGGCAUCGGGUGGGGGAGAGAGGGUAUGGUUUCGGGGACCGGCCUUUCUCUCAGUUCCUCCUGCCCACCCUGCCGCCUCCCAGGCCUCCCUGGAGAACAGAGACCUGCGCUCCUCCUUCCCUCGGAGGAAAGGGUUAAGGGAGAGCAGGGUGGGGAGCCUGGGAGGCUGGGGCCUGUGGAAAUUCUGGGCCGGAGACCGAGCAGGAAGGAGAGGGUAACAGCACCGCCUCCCCACUCCCCAUCCCCAUGUCUGGGGACAGCCCGGGGCUGGCAGGCAGCCCAGACCCUCCUGAAGCCCCCAGGGCUGGAGGGGCGGGGAGAGCGCCCGAGUUUUCAGACUUGCGUUGUUUAUGAAAGCCUUUUUGAGCAAGUUUGAGCUAAGCCAAGAGGGAAAGCUUUAGGCUGGGAGUGAGGGUCUGGUUGGUGACAACCUCUAAGGGUUCCCUCAACCCCCGACCCGCAGCCAGUCCGCUGCUUGGCUGGGGGGCCGCCUCCAACACCCUGCCCUGGAGGCAUCCCCAGCACAAAGAACACGUUUUGCAGCCCUGUGGCCUGAACAGAAGCUGGCUCUGUGGAGGGCAGAGUCUGCAUCCUGGGCCUCGAUUGGAAUCCAGAAAAAGAAAAGGGUAUCUGUGUCACCUCUGGCUCCAAGGUCUGCCCGCUCUGGUGUCCCUGUGCUGCCUCUCCAUAGCGCCUUGAAGAAGAAGACCCUCUGGAGGAGCUUCCAUCUCUCUCCACUCUUCCCACAUCUAGCUGUUCUCCCUUUAUCAGAAGAAGCUCUUGCCUUAUUUAGCCUUAUGGUGCCUCAGUUUCUCCUCUGAAGCAAAUGAGAGUCUCGUACCCGUGCUCCCUACUCCUUCCCUGAAUAAACACUUAUUUCUUGUUGCCCUCUUCCAACGGA